rnacentral:lncRNA from 12 species
ACGGUGCCACCUGUGUCCCCAGACACGGUGGGGGGCGACCCCAUGGGGCUCCCCUACAGCACCUUUGACCACUCGCGCGCCCACUACUUCCGCUACGACGAGCACGUCUCGCUCUGCCUGGAGAAGCUGAGCUCCAGCAAGGACAAGAGCAAGGCUGUGCUGCAGCAGAAAUACGUGCGGUGCUCGGUGCGGGCGCAGAUCCGACACCUGCGGAGGGUCCUGUGCCACCGGCUGGGGCUGUCCCUGCAGCACGUGCAGAUCCUGUUUGACAACGAGCCCCUCCCUGACCACAUGACAAUGAAGCAGCUCUGGCUCUCACGCUGGUUCGGCAAGCCUGCACCCCUCCUGCUGCACUACAGCAUCAAGGACAAGAGGAGGUAGGGGUGGGGGGUGGGUGCUGCUCCCCCAUUGCAGCCCUGCUCCCACCCCCUCCCCCACCCCCCAUAAUUUAUACCCCACUUCGAAUUUAUUUUUGGAAUAAAAUUGUGGAAAAGCCC